GGUUAAAUUCCAACCUUGUUUAAAGUACUUCAUAACGAAACCUGAUUAAAAACCUAAUGAAAUAUAAAAUAGGGUCAAGUCCAGAGAGAGAAAACUAUUUAAGAACCAGAGGAAGCUCUACUUAAUUUUGUUGUUAAGCUGGUGAAUUCAUUCGAGGUUUGCACAGUUACCUUCAAGGUCAGCGCUUCUGGGAACAGCAGGGUUUGGAAAGGAAGUUUCCUGAGUAAAUAUUUAAUGUCAGAUAGAGCCAUGCUUCUCAAAGUGGGGUUUACCUUCAGAGGUCAGCAGCACCUGGGAACUUGUUAUACAACACAUCCUCUCCAGGUCCCCACAGCCCUGCUAAAUCAGAAACCCUGAGGGGAGAUCCUGCAACCUAUGUGUUAAUAAGCCCUCCAGGAGAUUCUGAAGUGCUUCAAGUUUGAGAACCACUGAAAUACGUAAAAGGGGGGGGGGAAACCCUUUCAUUAUCAAAUGUGAAAAGGGCAAGGUUGUGGAAUACCCACACAGUCCAUUUAGAGCAGUGUGAGAAGUUUAGGGCAUUUACUGUGAGAAAUGGAAUAUUUCUUGACAUAUCAGUUAACAAGGAUGUCACAGUCAUCAAUGAUUUCAGCCCUCCCUGUGAGCUAGUGAGCCUGAGGACUCAGGAUGUUAAAAUGUAGGAUAUUGGCACCAGAUAGAUGAGGUACAUAUCAAAGGAAUGAUUUCAGUGAGCCCCAGACUCUCGCAUCUUCCCAUACAUAGAAAAGUGCUAAAUUCCUUAACCUGGAAUAUCUGGUUUUCUUUAAAUAACAACUUUUGGUGUUUUUGACAUAACUUCUAUAUAACCUGGCUUCCCCCACCACCCACCUCCGUGCAGUUCCCUCAGUGUUACCUGAGAUGCUGUCUCCUGUGCUUAAAGUCCUAAAAAUUCCCACCAAAUAAAACAUAACUCUCAACUUUUAGGUUGUGAAUAUUUUUAAGUCCACAGUUAUGGCGACUGAUAACGGAUGAUCAGAGCAGAUUCUUCUCCUUUGCCUGAACUCAGCCAGGUUUAUGCAUGUACAGGAUUUAGAAGUACUUAAUUGGAAAUUGAAGGAAAUCUUGCCCUAAACAUGAUGGGGGGAGGCUUUUUUAUUGCAUACACAGUUAAAUUAAGGUUAAAAAGCUGGCUUGAUAAAAAUAUCUUUUUGAAUUCUGACUUUAAACAAAGGCCUUCUAGUGGGGAACUUGCAUUUCUCUGUGUCUUUGCUUCUACCUGAUCGUCCUAGGACAGAGUGUGUGUCUGUGUGUGUUUUGAAAACUUGCCCUCUGCUAUACUGUUUUUGAAAGGAAACUCCCCAGGCUUUACUUACAUCCUCCCCUACUCAGAAGUCUCCUGCAGGUUUGAAUCACUAUUAAUAUAUAUUUUACUAAUGGCCAAAUGAUGGAUCCUUUUAAAAUUGGAGAAACUAACAAAUUGGUGAAUCUAGAGGGCUCCCAUUAUAAAUAGCUGUUUUACUGGUACUUACAAAAACAAACCAGAGGUGGAAAAUAUGUAUUCAAUGGUGAACCCAAGUACUUCAGUUUAAAACAAGAAAAACUGGUUUGGGAAGCUCCCUUCGCGGUUUUUGCUCCCCCUUCAAUGAGUCUUACAGAUGGCAUUAGAAUAAUUAAUGUUAAUAGGAAAAACACAUAAGGAAAGUCUGGAUACUAUUUCCAGCAAGGUAGAAAUUUUUAAAGGAAUUAUCUCAAGUGAAUAAAGAAAUCUUUAGAUUUAAAAUGGGAUAAAUAGAAAUGACAUUAAUGUGAUUAAAACACAAGGUUUUUAUAUUACUACACUACCUAAGGUUAAAUGGGUCAGAAAAUACUUCCUUCUGGUCUCCAGCAUUAAAAGUCAAACAAAUCUAUUUACCCCAGUUUUAAAAUAUAUAUUUAAGGAGCUGGAAAAGUUUUCCCUGAGAUACCUGACCAGCAACUGCUGGGGGCAGCAGUUGGGCCGAAGGGCCUGCUCCUGAGGCUCAGUCCCCUCUAGAGAUCGCAGAGCCUUUUAUAUAAAAACAGAUACAAUGGAUAGGGAAAAAACAAAAUAAUUUCUUAAAACCCCUCCUGUAAGAUCAAAACUUGUUGAUUGGAUCCUAAUGAAAACUAAAGAUAUAAGUUGCCAGAAUUGAGAUGAAAGUAUAUAAAGCUGGUAUAUUUAAAUGGGCUUUAUAUAAGAUGGUUACAUCUCUUGUUUAAUUACUGUAGGAUAGGCAUGUUUCCACGGGGAAAUACUUCCCCUGUGUGAUACUGUAAAACAAGGUAUAUAAAGCUGCGCCUCAGGAAAUCAUAACUGAACGUACUAAAGGAAACCAACCUGAGCCAUACAAGUGAGUGAAAACUGAAAACUAUAUAAUAUUAAAAAGAGUGGUUUCUACUCUGGGUUUAAUAUAUAAACUCAGAAAAGAAGGUUUCUGCUGAAUGCCUUAUGAAAACCUUUCAAGGCAAGCAAGGCUCAAGUUCUAAGACACAGAACUCAAAUUUCAGUUAGAAAUCUUUUCACUGAUACAUAACAUAUAGUUGGACAAAUCAAUCUUUUAGUAUUAUUUAACUGGCAGACUUAUUCUUUGAGGGAAUUAAAAGCAACUGUCUUUCUCUUGCAGAUCUCUACAAACCAGAAUAUAUUACUAAGUACAGGCCACAGAGACCUGAGUCUGAGCCUAAUUAGCUCAAUCAGUUAAGACCUGAAACCAAGGAAGGAAAAAAAAAUAACAAAGUGGCAGUUUUAAAAUUCAAACCACUGGGAAUACUCCCUCAGCUAGACUUCACAAAUAGUAAAGCUUUAGUCGUCUGAACAAGCAGUUCUAAUGUAUUCCAACUGUUCUUUAUAAAUUAGUAAGUUUAUAUUGUAAUACCAGGUUCAUAAUUUUUUUUUAAAGUGAAUCUGUUGCAGGAUGCUGAACCCCUUCUGAGGCCCAAAACUGGGCUCUUGUCUAACACUCGGAAAUGAAUUGUCUGAGGAGACAUGUGCUGACAAAGCAAGAGGGAAAAGGCCCCCUUGGGAAAGGGCCCGGGCGGAGAGCCGUAGGCCUCCAGUUGACUCUGGGAUACUUCAAAGGAACAUCUCUGAAAGAUCUUGGAGAGGAAUAUUAAACUAAGUUUAUUUGGUAUGUUAAAUUACUUCAGAAAUAGUGUCAAGAUGAACCUUAAGUUACAGUGCAUGGAUAAAUGUCAUUAAUAUAUUCCAAAAUUUAUAUGGAAUCCCUACCCUCUGAUAUGUCCUGAUAUAAUGUUAUUAAUCAUAAUUCUAGUUAUUAUCCUAAAAUGUUACAUCACAAAAAUAUCCAAGGUUCCUGCUAAUUGCAUUGUACUUAAAUCUUUAACCAUACUAUUUUAAGCUUUGUCCUUUGUAGACAAUAAUUAUUUUACACUGAUGGUUUUACAAAAUGAAGAUGUUUCAAGAAGACUCAUAAAAAGAACUUUUUAAACAAAAAUCUCUGAUAGCUUUAGAUGAUGCCACUGAAGUGGAUAACAAGUGACAAAACUAAUGGAAUAUCUGAUUCCUUCAUCCAGAUGAACAGGAAUUAAUUACAUAGGACCAAAUGAAUGGUGAAUAGGAUUUAUAACUGACUUUUGUCAAUGGUACUAGCUGUAUUACUUAUAUCUUGCCUAUUUUAUAAUAUCGUGUCUAUUUUGUGAGAUUGUUGUCUUUUACAGUACCCAGUGUGCAACCGGGCCUCCAACAAAAUUGAUGAUGGCUAAACAUCGUGAGGAAAUUGAUCAUAUUUAUGACUCUUAUAAAAUAAUUUUAAGUGUGAUUCCAGGUAUGGGAAUAGGCGACAAGGGAAAACAUUUUCUGGAUCCUAGUAAGACAGAGGGUCCAGAGAACCUUUCAUUAUCAACAGGGCCUAAUCUGGAGCUCUGCACCUGGAGUGGCACGUCAACAGGAAUUUCUGCCUGAUCUGGGAUGAGCCUCCCUGUGCCCUGGGAUAAUAAUUGGUCACGAAAUGUCUCCCAGAUAUUGGUCAAAUUCUGGUUCAAGAGAAGAAUCUGAGAAAUAAGAAUAUUUCCAGCCAUAUCAGUACACAAGGAUGUCACAGUCAUCAGCGACUUCAGUCCUGCAACAUGAGCCUGAGAAAUUCGGGAAAGACAAGAAUACCUGCCAUCUAGCAACCAGCCUGCAGCCACUCCCUACAGCGAGCCCUGAGGAAACUCAGAAUGGGGAAACAUUGCACACUGGCCCCAGCUAGGUGAGGUACAUAUCAAAGGAAUGAUUUCCGUGAGCCCCAAACUUCUUGCAUCUUCCAUACAGAGAAAAGUGCUAAAUUCCUGAUCUUGAGAUAUAACUGGUUUUCUUUAAUUAACAAUCAUCUGGUUCUGACUACUGCCCUUUGUUGAAAAAUUCUGUGUAAUGUAGCUCCCCCCUCAUUGCCCCCUUGGAGCAGUUCUCUCGGGGUUACUUUAGAUGCUGUCUCCUGGGCUUGAAUCCUAAAAAUUCCCACCAAAUAAAACAUAACUCUCAACUUUAAGGUUGUGAAUAUUUUUUUAAGCCCACACUGUAUGUUGAAUAAUAAUUUUUCUUAAACCUACUUUUUUGAAUUUUUAAAGUAAACCUCCUGGUGUUCUAUGCUGUGGAAACCUGACCCUUCCUUUCCUCACCUGAACAAACACCCCCAGAACAUCCUUUUAUCUGUCACAGCAGGGACACUGGAAGGUAAAAGUUUCCCCCAAUUUAAAGGCUUAGAUGUUCAUUCCUUAGUGACUGAAUUAUUAAGAGACUACGAGGCACAUUUUCAGAGCUCACAACAAGCCCAUUUAUGAAGAGGAACCACAGGCAAAGAGAGGUUAAGAAACCUUCCCCCAGACCCACAUGCAGACCCACCUUUGAUUGGCCACCUCUGUGAUGAACACCUGGGGACCAGGAAAGUCAGCCAUGCCAGCUCAGAGCACCCGGGGUCGGUCUGAGUAAUCAGAAGCCCUUUAGGAUUUGGCACCUAACUUGGGGAAACUCUUAACACCAUAAAGAUGAACACUGGACAGUCGUUUCAUUUGAACUUGAAAAAUUUUGUUAUUUACCUUGAAGUGGGUUUCUUUUUUGAUGGUGGAGGGAGGGGAGAUUUUCCUGGUUUACUUCGCUUGUAGUCAUCACUAGACGUUUACUUAGGUCCCACGGGUGGUGGUUUAUGCAUUCCUUGUGUGAGCCACAGCCAAGGACAUUCAGCGCUUUGUUGAAAAUGAUACCCCAGGGAAGUGACUUUUCCUCACUAUAUAUAUACACACACACACACAUAUAUAUACAUAUAUUAAUAGUAAUGUAUUCGCUGUACUGCCACAAAGCAAGAAUUCCCAUGUAUCAUAUCUUACCUACAGCAGUGAGGCUGCAGGGAAAACUGUGUACACAGAUGUUGCUGAAAUUUUAGGAAGAGUUCAGGGCCUCAACAGAGGUGAAGUGGAAGGUUUGCACCAUAGGAAUGGUGGACGGGUUUUUAAAGAGAAGAGAGGCAAUAAACACUGAUUCCCUCUGUCCCCUAAACUCAAGGAACCUCACAGAGACCAAAGAGAGAGUUUGAAAUUGCUAUUUUAAAAGGCAGAGCAGUCCACCCCAGUGUUCAUAACAGCACUGUUUCCAAGUAGCAAGGACGCAGAAACAAGCUAAAUGCCCAUCAGCAGAGGAAUGGGAAAAGAUGUAGUGCCUGCAUACAAUGGAAGGUUACUUAGCCAUAAAAAUGAGCAAAUGCCACUUGCAGCAACGCGGGUGGACCGGAAGUUUGUCAUACUGAGAGCUGAGGCAGGAAGACAAAUACAUGUUAUCACUUAUAUGUGGAAUCUUGUUUUUUUUUUUAUUAAAGAAGAAGAUAUAAAUGAACUUACAAAACAGAAAUAGAGUCACAGGUAUAGAAAACAAACUUAUGGUUCCCAGGGGGUACGUGGAGGAGGGAUAAAUUGGGAGAUGGGGACAGACAUACACACACUCGCAUACGACAAACAGGUAACUAAUGAGAACCUAGUGUAGAGCGCGGGGAUACUCUGUUCUCUGUAAUGACCUGUCUGGGAAAAGAAUCUAAAGAGUGACUAUAUGUAUAACUCAUGUCCUUUGCGGUGCAGCAGAAACUAACACACUGUAAAUCAACUACACUCCAAUAAAGAUUACUUUUUUUAAAAAGCAUAGCAGAAAAGAGUUUUGGUAGAAAAAUGGAUCAGACUAAGUAAGUAAGAAAACCUAAUUCUCUCCAGCUUCUGGUAUACUGGGGUGCUUUGGGGGACCUGGGGCUCUGCUGCUGAUUUCUAAUGGGUAGCACAGAGUCCAGAAGCAAGGAGAGCUAAGGAAGGUGAAAGCUGGGAGCUGCUUCCGGUCUGGGACACUCUGCCAUCUUAGCCGAGCAGGUGGGCGCCUCCCAGCAGCCCAUCAGUCACAUCUCAAGGGAAUGAAAUCGGGGGUUGGGGUGGACACUGACUGGAGCAGAGGGGCUGCUGCCAUGGCUUCAGGGGGUACCUGUGACUGUGCAAAGACCUCCCCCUGGCCUUGUCCCACUGCAACUCCCACACAGGUCAAGUAACCCGGCUUAGGCCACAUGGCAUGGAGUUUCCAAAGCCACAGGUCUCUAUGCUCCAGAACCAACACAAUGAGCCCACCCCACUGCUGCUAUUUACUGCAUCCUGGCCCCUGGAUGGUGUCAUCUCUCUGAGGCUCGGAGCAUCUCUGGGGAGGGAAGCAGUGUCGUCAUCCCCAUUUCUCAGGUGAGGAACUGGCUCAGAAAGGCCAAGACACUUGCUCAACGCCUCACGGCUGGUGAGUGGGUGUCACGCCCCCAAAUGUCUACUGCCAACCCUGCUGAGGGGCUUCAUCCUUCCUUUCCUGGGCAGCACCCCCACACACACCUGCCUACCGCUAUGUGACUGACUGCCUUCAAGACUUCUUACCUGUCUUCUGCUUGAAACUGGAUCUCGGGCAGAGACAGCACUGGAAACAUGGGGGAAAAGCCAUGCCCUCCUGGAGUGAACCUCCAAGGCUGUUCCCUUGAGGCCUGACUUAAGUGGAGGAAGAGGGGUGUGUGGGUGUGUGUCUUUACAACUGUGAAACGCAAUCCAUUCACUUUUUUUUUUUUUACCAUUUCUUUUUGUACAAUGCUUCCAGGAAUGCCCCUCAAUGGUUAGAGCCACAAAACAAAACGGGAGGGAAAAAAAAAAACACUGCUGCAGGACCAAACCGCUCAAAAAUCAAAAGGAGUACAGACAUACACGAUAGGCUGUGAAAGUCCCUUAUUCUGUCCCUAGAGAUAACCACUUCUUUAGAAGUAUUUGAAUAUUUUUUAUGAUUAUAAAAAGCCACAUUAAAAGAUACAGCAAAAUGAAAGUAAACGCUUCACUGUUCAGGCUUCCUUGGCGGGCACAGGGGCCGAGACCACAACCACUGAUGCAGCUCACCUCCUGAAAGGUUGCCAGGGCCCCUGCCCUUGACCCUCUUGCUGUCUGAUUCCAUAGAUUGAGGAGGCAAAGGCUGACCUGCAGUUCUUUUGAAACACCAGUCAGGUCAGAGGCCUCUGGCCUCCGCUGCCCGUGGCCACGUGGGAUCCAUGCCCUCGUCUGCUGUUCCCCACGCUGUCUCCCCCUAAGGCCUUCACAUGCCGUCCCCUCAGGUGUCACCACGGCCUCUCCUCCCCCCAGUCAGAGCCCCCUGACCGUCCAGCUGACCUCCUGCUGCCGUCUACAGCACACCCCUCCCUCCCAUCUCUGGACCCUGCCCUGUCCUGUCAUCGCACGCAGCACAGGUCACCUUUAGACUCUUAUGUGAUUUACCUGUGAUCUGAUCUUCCUCCAGACCCAAAGGCUAGCAUAACUGACUCCUUUGAUCAUUCAUGUAUCCAACAGCACUUGACAUACAGUUGGUGUCAAUACAUGUUUGUUGAAAGAGAGACCACGGAUCCCAUCUUUGCUGAGGCUGGGAUGUAAACAGACCCUUCUCAGCCCAGCUUCACCAGCCCAUCCUGCAUGUGUAUGGUUCUGGGGGUGGCCUCCUCUAAGGGGUGUUCAUAUCACUCAAGCUCUGGGAAGCUCAGAUAUGGGCAGGAAAGCCCACAGUUGAGGGCUCUUGUCCCAGAGGAGGAGGCCUUCCCUGGGGCACUGACCAGAGGCCAUCAGAAACAAGCCCAGGCAUUUGGGAGGCAUUUAUCCUUGUGGAGCUGAAGGAUACACAAAACAGCUUCUAGGCCGCCUUCCCUGAGCUCCAGACUAGGUCAGGCUCCCCCGUUACUCACACGGCACCCUGUACUUCAAAACAAUUCGGCAAUGAAUUAACUAUGACUUUGCCAUAUCCUAUUUCUCCAUUAGGCAAUAAGCUUCAGAAACCCAGGACUCGGCACAUAGAAGGUAUUUUGAGGAACAGCUGACCCACUUGCUCAUGCAGUGCCCUGCUUGUUCUGGCUGGUGGGCAUGCUUACUGCAUUUCUGAUCCUUCAGGAGACAUUCAGUGCCCCUUUCCUCUGAAAAUCACCAAACAAAUUGAGACACUAAUGCCAAACAGAUGGCACCACCAGCUUUGGAAGGAAGUGUCUUGGUGAAGACACCCCUGUUUCCAUGGAAUCAGUGUGGUUUGGUAGGAGUGACUUAGGGCCUAAAGGAAAGAUCUAAACUUUGUUACUUGCAGCUAACAGCAUUCAUAACCUGCCUGACCAGAACUGUUAUAUCAGAAUUAUCCCCCAUAACACGAAGCCUGAAGGUGAAUCCAGCAGGAUGAAAUAAUUCAACGAUGCCCUCAAAAGCCCAGGCUAUUGGAGCCCCUUCUGCUUUAUCACCGUUAUCACUUCACGGUCACAAGAGGGCUGCUGCUGUUCAAGGCAUUACCUCCACCUUCUGGAAAGAAGAAACGGGAAGUAGCGGAGCCCAUACUAUCCCCUUCCUUUCAUCAAGAGACAUAAACUCGCUAGAAUCCUCCACCAUCACCGGGAAGACUUCUACUUACAUCUCAAUGGCCAGAACUCGAUCAACUGGCCUCCCUACCCACACUAGAAAGAUAAGGAUUCAUACAGAGUGGGAAAGCUGAGACAGCAAGGGAGGAGUGAGUUAGUAAUAGCUAUAGAGUUAGCCAGCCAGAAGUAUCUGUCAAAACCUAUGUAAACUAUUUUUAAUAGAACUGUUUUUGUGGGUUUUCUUAUAAUAAAAGCAAUGUAUAUUACAUUAGAAAAUAAAGAUUUUUAAACAUCUCUCCAAUCCCAUCAUACAGAAGUAAUCACUGUGUAUUCCAUUAUUAUUAACCUUUGUUAUUAUCCUUUCAGAUCUGUAUUUUUUUUAACAUGGAUGAAAUCAUACUAUGUGUUAUUCUGUAAUUACCCUUUUCAUUUGAUAUGAUGAAAAAUCUUAACAAAUCAUUAAAUAAUCUUUGCAGAA